CCUACGGGAGGCAGCAGUGAGGAAUAUUGGUCAAUGGGCGUAAGCCUGAACCAGCCAAGUCGCGUGCGGGAUGAAGGUUCUAUGGAUCGUAAACCUCUUUUAUAAGGGAAUAAAGUGCGGGACGUGUCCCGUUUUGUAUGUACCUUAUGAAUAAGGAUCGGCUAACUCCGUGCCAGCAGCCGCGGUAAUACGGAGGAUCCGAGCGUUAUCCGGAUUUAUUGGGUUUAAAGGGUGCGUAGGCGGCCUUUUAAGUCAGCGGGGAAAGUUUGUGGCUCAACCAUAGAAUUGCCGUUGAAACUGGGAGGCUUGAGUAUGUUUGAGGCAGGCGGAAUGCGUGGUGUAGCGGUGAAAUGCUUAGAUAUCACGCAGAACCCCGAUUGCGAAGGCAGCCUGCCAAGCCAUGACUGACGCUGAUGCACGAAAGCGUGGGGAUCAAACAGGAUUAGAUACCCCUGUAGUC
rnacentral:rRNA from 1 species